CCGGAUCUGGACUCUUGGCAGGCUCCGUGGGGGGCACGGGAGUGGCUCCAUUCACCUGGGACAGCUUCCGCUUUUUUUUCUGCAGCUUUGGGGUCUUGGCAGGG